UGUAGCUCAGUGGCAGAGCACUUACCUAGCAUGUAUGAAGCCCUGGGUUUGAUUCCCUGCA
rnacentral:tRNA from 1 species